rnacentral:lncRNA from 1 species
UGUAAUUGGUUUUUGGUUGAUUUUUACACUUUUUCCUUUUUAUUUAUUCAUUUGGCUGAGCCGCGUGGCCUGCGGGAGAUCCCCGAGCCGGGACUGAACCUGGCCCUGGCGGUGAACCGGACGCCAGGGAGUUCCCCAGCUCUCCUUCCUGACGAGCUGACGAAAUUGCACACCCUCACCACCGCCCCUUUCAGGAUCACACACUCUGGGCUGUCUGCUCAGAUCGCCUCCAGCGACAGGGAACAGCCCUUGGGGUCCACUGAGGUGACUCCAGCUCAACCUGUUUGGCUUGCAUUGCCCACUUGUCCCCAUGAAAACCAGGAUACAGCCUCUUCCUCAGGGGUCCCCCCACCUCCCAGCCGACCCUGGGUGUGUGUCUGUGUGGCCCUGCCUGGUGUAACGUGUAACCGCUCGCUGGGAUCUGAGUGCAGUAAACUGCCUCUGAACGGUGUCUGUCUUCGGAUCCAGCGGCCCCAUCACACCUACAUGCACAACAAUGCGAUGGACGGAAACAUGCCUUUGCCUUCAGCCUUCUCAGGCAGGCCAGUUCUCUGCUUCCUUCCCACCCUUCACCGGCCUGGUGUUUGCACCGUGACUCCAGGGGAACAAGGACUGUUUCAAAGUCUGAUUUGCCUCCUUAGCUGCACUUCCAAAGGCUGCCCCUCAGGCCAUCCUCUGAGUCAGUGCUCCGCAGCACUUUGGUUUUUUCUGGAUCCACCCUCUUCUGAGCACCCUCUCCUGGUUGGCACCACCACCGGCCUCUCUGGCUGCUGCUGCUCCUCCUCAUUGGGUUUGACCACUUCUGUAGCUUCACCUUCGUCUACAGUUUCUAAAUCUCCAGUCCCCACUUCUCCCCGUCCUGAGCUUCAGACCUGUUUCCCACCAGCCUCCAGGAAUCUCCACCUUCGAGGCACCGAGGUUGAGGAUGGCAAAAUGCUCGACGUGUAGGCGGGACCAGACUUGGAAUCCAGUGGGUGCAGAGAUUUGUCGCAGGGGCAGUGUAAGGGACACAGGGUAGGGAGGGGAGAGGUCAGAGGGUGACUGGGGCGGGAUGCUGGCCAGGACAGAUUCUACGGCGAAGGAG